CUACGGGGGGCUCCAGUGGGGAAUAUUGGACAAUGGAGGAAACUCUGAUGCAGCAACGCCGCGUGGAGGAUGACACUUUUCGGAGCGUAAACUCCUUUUAUAUAGGAAGAAGAUGACGGUACUACAUGAAUAAGCGCCGGCUAACUCCGUGCCAGCAGCCGCGGUAAUACGGAGGGCGCAAGCGUUACUCGGAAUCACUGGGCGUAAAGAGCGUGUAGGCGGAUUAAAAAGUCAGAAGUGAAAUCCUAUAGCUUAACUAUAGAACUGCUUCUGAAACUCUUAAUCUAGAAUAUGGGAGAGGUAGAUGGAAUUUCUGGUGUAGGGGUAAUAUCCGUAGAGAUCAGAAGGAAUACCGAUUGCGAAGGCGAUCUACUAGAACAUUAUUGACGCUGAGACGCGAAAGCGUGGGGAGCAAACAGGAUUAGAUACCCUCGUAGUC
rnacentral:rRNA from 1 species